rnacentral:rRNA from 1 species
GACGAACGCUGGCGGCGUGCUUAACACAUGCAAGUCGAACGGUGAAGGGGCCUGCUUUUGUGGGUCCUGGAUGAGUGGCGAACGGGUGAGUAACACGUGAGUAACCUGCCCCCUUCUUCUGGAUAACCGCAUGAAAGUGUGGCUAAUACGGGAUAUUCUGGGUCUGUCGCAUGGUGGGCCUGGGAAAGAUUGCGCCUUUUUUGGUGUUUUUGGUGGGGGAUGGGCUCGCGGCCUAUCAGCUUGUUGGUGGGGUGAUGGCCUACCAAGGCGGUGACGGGUAGCCGGCCUGAGAGGGUGGACGGUCACACUGGGACUGAGACACGGCCCAGACUCCUACGGGAGGCAGCAGUGGGGAAUAAUUCACA